AGGGCUGUGACUCAGUGACAGAGCAUCUGCUUGCAUGGAGAAGGUCCUGGGUUCAAUCCCCAGCAUCCCCA